rnacentral:rRNA from 1 species
AUUGAACGCUGGCGGCAGGCUUAACACAUGCAAGUCGAGCGGAGUGAUGGUGCUUGCUCUAUCACUUAGCGGCGGACGGGUGAGUAAUGCUUAGGAAUCUGCCUAUUAGUGGGGGACAACAUCUCGCAAGGGAUGCUAAUACCGCAUACGUCCUACGGGAGAAAGCAGGGGAUCACUUGUGACCUUGCGCUAAUAGAUGAGCCUAAGUCGGAUUAGCUAGUUGGUGGGGUAAAGGCCUACCAAGGCGACGAUCUGUAGCGGGUCUGAGAGGAUGAUCCGCCACACUGGGACUGAGACACGGCCCAGACUCCUACGGGAGGCAGCAGUGGGGAAUAUUGGACAAUGGGGGGAACCCUGAUCCAGCCAUGCCGCGUGUGUGAAGAAGGCCUUAUGGUUGUAAAGCACUUUAAGCGAGGAGGAGGCUCUUUUGGUUAAUACCCAAGAUGAGUGGACGUUACUCGCAGAAUAAGCACCGGCUAACUCUGUGCCAGCCGCCGCCGUAA